ACAGGCUUAACACAUGCAAGUCGAGGGGCAGCAUGGUCUUAGCUUGCUAAGGCCGAUGGCGACCGGCGCACGGGUGAGUAACGCGUAUCCAACCUGCCUUACACUCUUGGACAGCCUUCUGAAAGGGAGAUUAAUACAAGAUGUUAUCAUGAGUAAGCAUUUUCGCAUGAUUAAAGGUUUACCGGUGUAAGAUGGGGAUGCGUUCCAUUAGAUAGUAGGCGGGGUAACGGCCCACCUAGUCUUCGAUGGAUAGGGGUUCUGAGAGGAAGGUCCCCCACAUUGGAACUGAGACACGGUCCAAACUCCUACGGGAGGCAGCAGUGAGGAAUAUUGGUCAAUGGACGAGAGUCUGAACCAGCCAAGUAGCGUGAAGGAUGAAGGUUCUAUGGAUUGUAAACUUCUUUUAUACGGGAAUAAACGAAUCCACGUGUGGAUUUUUGCAUGUACCGUAUGAAUAAGGAUCGGCUAACUCCGUGCCAGCAGCCGCGGUAAUACGGAGGAUCCGAGCGUUAUCCGGAUUUAUUGGGUUUAAAGGGAGCGUAGAUGGGUUGUUAAGUCAGUUGUGAAAGUUUGCGGCUCAACCGUAAAAUUGCAAUUGAUACUGGCAGUCUUGAGUACAGUUGAGGUAGGCGGAAUUCGUGGUGUAGCGGUGAAAUGCUUAGAUAUCACGAAGAACUCCGAUUGCGAAGGCAGCUUACUACCCUGUAACUGACAUUGAUGCUCGAAAGUGUGGGUAUCAAACAGGAUUAGAUACCCUGGUAGUCCACACGGUAAACGAUGAAUACUCGCUGUAGGCGAUAUACAGUCUGCGGCCAAGCGAAAGCAUUAAGUAUUCCACCUGGGGAGUACGCCGGCAACGGUGAAACUCAAAGGAAUUGACGGGGGCCCGCACAAGCGGAGGAACAUGUGGUUUAAUUCGAUGAUACGCGAGGAACCUUACCCGGGCUUAAAUUGCAACCGAAUAUGGCGGAAACGCUGUAGCUAGCAAUAGCGGUUGUGAAGGUGCUGCAUGGUUGUCGUCAGCUCGUGCCGUGAGGUGUCGGCUUAAGUGCCAUAACGAGCGCAACCCUUGCCGAUAGUUACUAACAGGUCAUGCUGAGGACUCUGUCGGGACUGCCAUCGUAAGAUGUGAGGAAGGUGGGGAUGACGUCAAAUCAGCACGGCCCUUACGUCCGGGGCUACACACGUGUUACAAUGGGGGGUACAGAGGGCCGCUACCACGCAAGUGGAUGCCAAUCCCAAAAACCUCUCUCAGUUCGGAUUGAAGUCUGCAACCCGACUUCAUGAAGCUGGAUUCGCUAGUAAUCGCGCAUCAGCCACGGCGCGGUGAAUACGUUCCCGGGCCUUGUACACACCGCCCGUCAAGCCAUGGGAGCCGGGGGUACCUGAAGUGCGUAACCGCAAGGAGCGCCCUAGGGUAAAACUGGUGACUGGGGCUA
rnacentral:rRNA from 1 species